AGUCUGGUGCCAGCAGCCGCGGUAAUUCCAGCUCCAAUAGCGUAUAUUAAAGUUGUUGCAGUUAAAAAGCUCGUAGUUGAAAUUUUGAUUGUAGCGGUCAGUCUCACAACAGUGAGUGCUAGAUGUGCUGUGGUCAUGUUUCGUUGGAACGUGUGUGGCAUUGAGUUGUCGUGCAUGGGAAGACGAUCGUUUACUGUGAAAAAAUUAGAGUGUUCAAAGCAGGCUUAUGCCGUUGAAUAUAUUAGCGUGGAAUAAUAAGAUAGGACCAGGGUACUAUUUUGUUGGUUUGUGCACCUUGGUAAUGAUUAAUAGGGACAGUUGGGGAUAUUCGUAUUGCGGUGUCAGAGGUGAAAUUCUUGGAUUUCCGCAAGACGAGCUACUGCGAAAGCAUUUAUCAAGGAUGUUUUCAUUAAUCAAGAACGAAAGUUAGGGGAUCGAAGAUGAUUAGAUACCAUCGUAGUCUUAACCAUAAACUAUGCCGACAAGGGAUUGGCAGGGUGUGUUUAUGCCUCUGUCAGCACCUUAGGAGAAAUCAUAAGUUUUUGGGUUCCGGGGGGAGUAUGGUCGCAAGGCUCAAACUUAAAGACAUUGACGGAAGGGCACCACCAGGAGUGGAGCCUGCGGCUUAAUUUGACCCAACACGGGAAAACUUACCAGGUCCAGGCAUAGUGAGGAUUGACAGAUUGAGAGCUCUUUCUUGAUUCUAUGGGUGGUGGUGCAUGGCCGUUCUUAGUUGGUGGAGUGAUUUGUCUGGUUAAUUCCGUUAACGAACGAGACCCCCGCCUGCUAAAUAGAUGGUCUAGUGAUUUUUCACUGGAAACAUCUUCUUAGAGGGACGUGCGUUCUAUUGGACGCAGGAAGAUGGGGGCAAUAACAGGUCUGUGAUGCCCUUAGACGUCCUGGGCCGCACGCGCGCUACACUGAUGCAUUCAACGAGUGCCUUCACCGAGAGGUGUGGGAAAUCUUGGAAUGUGCAUCGUGAUAGGGAUAGAUUCUUGUAAUUUUUAAUCUUGAACGAGGAAUUCCUAGUAAACGCAGAUCAUCAAUCUGCAUUGAUUACGUCCCUGCCCUUUGUACACACCGCCCGUCGCACCUACCGAUUGAAUGGUCCGGUGAAGCCUCGGGAUUGUGAUGACUUUUCUUCAUUGAGAGGUCGUUGCGAGAACUUGUCUAAACCUUAUCAUUUAGAGGAAGGUGAAGUC
rnacentral:rRNA from 1 species